ACAAAGGUUUUAUUAAAAACCAUGCAUAAUGCCUUUAAUUAUAGA
rfam:Phlebotomus papatasi Contig40425.1, whole genome shotgun sequence.